AGCAGCCGCGGUAAUUCCAGCUCCAAUAGCGUAUAUUAAAGUUGUUGCAGUUAAAAAGCUCGUAGUUGAAUUUCGGGAUUGACGUGAUGGUCAUGCCUUAAGGGGUAUGAACUGUUGCUGUUGAUUUCUCACCUUCUGGAGAAACUUGAUGUCCUUUAUUGGGUGUCUUGCGGAUCCAGGACCUUUACCUUGAAAAAAUUAGAGUGUUUAAAGCAGGCAUUUUUACUCGAAUACAUUAGCAUGGAAUAAUAGAAUAGGACGGCAUGGUUCUAUUUUGUUGGUUUCUAGGAUCACCGUAAUGAUUAAUAGGGAUAGUUGGGGGCAUUAGUAUUCAAUUGUCAGAGGUGAAAUUCUUGGAUUUAUUGAAGACUGACUACUGCGAAAGCAUUUGCCAAGGAUGUUUUCAUUAAUCAAGAACGAAAGUUAGGGGAUCGAAGACGAUCAAAUACC
rnacentral:rRNA from 1 species